rnacentral:rRNA from 1 species
AACGCGAAGAACCUUACCUGGGCUCGAAGCACAGUGGACCGGGGUAGAAAUAUCCCUUUUCGCAAGAACUGCUGUGGAGGUGCUGCAUGGCUGUCGUCAGCUCGUGUCGUGAGAUGUUGGGUUAAGUCCCGCAACGAGCGCAACCCUUAUCGUUAGUUGCCAGCGAGUCAAGUCGGGCACUCUAGCGAAACCGCCCCGGAUAACGGGGAGGAAGGUGGGGAUGACGUCAAGUCCUCAUGGCCUUUAUGUCCAGGGCUACACACGUGCUACAAUGGUCGGUACAAACCGUCGCAAACCUGCGAAGGGGAGCUAAUCGGAAAAAGCCGGCCUCAGUUCGGAUUGGAGUCUGCAACUCGACUCCAUGAAGCUGGAAUCGCUAGUAAUCGCGGAUCAGCACGCCGCGGUGAAUACGUUCCCGGGCCUUGUACACACCG